AUAGGGAAGAAGGAAAUGGUGGUGGUUUAAUGCUCACCCUUCGUUAUGGGGGAGUAAGAAAACAGACUACAAUGGGGAAGUGUUAGAGGAAUUUCUUGACAAUAAAAAUCUGGUCUGUUUGACCAGAAGACGACACGGUUUGAUAUUAGCUCUGUAUGGAGGAAAAGCUCAUCAGUGCUGUGGCUAAUCAUCCAGAGCUAUAUGAUGCUAGCUGCUACUUCUACCGAGACAGGAAUAAAAAGGACCGAGCUUGGAGGCACAUAAGUGAGGAGAUCGGGCAACCUGAGCCAACUGAUUCUGCAGCAGAGCAUCCCCUGUUGCUUCUCCUGGCUCCCCAGUCCCUGAGCUCCUGCUGCUGCACCCACAGGCCCAGAGAGGAGGACAGCUCCGAGGCAGAUGAGGGACUGGUCCCAGGACGGUCCAUCGGCGGUGGAGCUGGCCAUCCUGGAGUCCCUGAAGAGGCCACGCCAGUCUCCAAUGGAGCAUUUCCUCCUCAGCCUUGUUCCUGCUCUGGAGAGCAGCUGGGUCCUUUUGUAUUCCUGUCUCUCUGUAAAUGGUUAUAUUUUAUAUAUUUAUGUUUAAUGUUUUUCUGUUUGAGAAUUUUAAUAUUACUUCAAAUAAAUUUUUAUUAUGACUAAUGUCUCAGUUCUACUACACAGCAAAUGUUGGCACACGGCUUGACACAUGUAGAAUUUAU
ensembl:lncRNA